rnacentral:rRNA from 1 species
GACGAACGCUGGCGGCGUGCCUAAUACAUGCAAGUUGAGCGAUGAAGAUUGGUGCUUGCACCAAUUUGAAGAGCAGCGAACGGGUGAGUAACGCGUGGGGAAUCUGCCUUUGAGCGGGGGACAACAUUUGGAAACGAAUGCUAAUACCGCAUAACAACUUUAAACAUAAGUUUUAAGUUUGAAAGAUGCAAUUGCAUCACUCAAAGAUGAUCCCGCGUUGUAUUAGCUAGUUGGUGAGGUAAAGGCUCACCAAGGCGAUGAUACAUAGCCGACCUGAGAGGGUGAGCGGCCACAUUGGGACGGAGACACGGCCCAAACUCCUACGGGAGGCAGCAGUAGGGAAUCUUCGGCAAUGGACGAAAGUCUGACCGAGCAACGCCGCGGGAGUGAAGAAGGUUUUCGGAUCGUAAAACUCUGUUGGUAGAGAAGAACGUUGGUGAGAGUGGAAAGCUCAUCAAGUGACGGUAACUACCCAGAAAGGGACGGCUAACUACGUG